rnacentral:rRNA from 1 species
UGGGGAAUUUUGGACAAUGGGCGAAAGACUGAUCCAGCAAUGCCGCGUGUGUGAAGAAGGCCUUCGGGUUGUAAAGCACUGUUGUCCGGAAAGAAAUGGCUCUGGUUAAUACCUGGGGUCGAUGACGGUACCGGAAGAAUAAGGACCGGCUAACUACGUGCCAGCAGCCGCGGUAAUACGUAGGGUCCAAGCGUUAAUCGGAAUUACUGGGCGUAAAGCGUGCGCAGGCGGUUGUGCAAGACCGAUGUGAAAUCCCCGAGCUUAACUUGGGAAUUGCAUUGGUGACUGCACGGCUAGAGUGUGUCAGAGGGGGGUAGAAUUCCACGUGUAGCAGUGAAAUGCGUAGAGAUGUGGAGGAAUACCGAUGGCGAAGGCAGCCCCCUGGGAUAACACUGACGCUCAUGCACGAAAGCGUGGGGAGCAAACAGG